UGCAUAUUCAAAAAAGCGGAGGAAAAGAAACUAACAAGGAUUCCCCUAGUAACUGCGAGUGAAGCGGGAAAAGCUCAAAUUUAAAAUCUGGUGGUCUUUGGCCAUCCGAGUUGUAAUCUAGAGAAGUGUUAUCCGCGCUGGACCGUGUACAAGUCCCCUGGAAUGGGGCGUCAUAGAGGGUGAGAAUCCCGUCUUUGACACGGACUACCAGGGCUUUGUGAUGCACUCUCAAAGAGUCGAGUUGUUUGGGAAUGCAGCUCAAAAUGGGUGGUAAAUUCCAUCUAAAGCUAAAUAUUGGCGAGAGACCGAUAGCGAACAAGUACCGUGAGGGAAAGAUGAAAAGAACUUUGGAAAGAGAGUUAAACAGUACGUGAAAUUGUUGAAAGGGAAACGCUUGAAGUCAGUCGCGUCUGCCAGGGAUCAACCUUACUUUUGUGAGGCGUACUUCCUGGUUGAUGGGUCAGCAUCAGUUUUGGUCGCUGGAUAAAGGUCAGAGAAAUGUGGCACCUUCGGGUGUGUUAUAGUCUUUGAUCAGAUACAGUGGCUGGGACUGAGGAACUCAGCGCCGCAAGGCUGUCUUAGGAUGCUGGCAAAAUGGCUUUAAUCGACCCGUCUUGAAACACGGACCAAGGAGUC
rnacentral:rRNA from 1 species